rnacentral:rRNA from 1 species
UACGUAGGGUGCAAGCGUUAAUCGGAAUUACUGGGCGUAAAGCGUGCGCAGGCGGUUUUGUAAGUCUGUCGUGAAAUCCCCGGGCUCAACCUGGGAAUUGCGAUGGAGACUGCAAGGCUAGAAUCUGGCAGAGGGGGGGUAGAAUUCCACGUGUAGCAGUGAAAUUGCGUAGAGAUGUGGAGGAACACCGAUGGCGAAGGCAGCCCCCUGGGUCAAGA